UACGAAGGGGGCUAGCGUUGCUCGGAAUUACUGGGCGUAAAGCGCACGUAGGCGGGUCGAUAAGUCGGGGGUGAAAUCCUGGAGCUCAACUCCAGAACUGCCUUUGAUACUGAGAAUCUUGAGUUCGGGAGAGGUGAGUGGAACUGCGAGUGUAGAGGUGAAAUUCGUAGAUAUUCGCAAGAACACCAGUGGCGAAGGCGGCUCACUGGCCCGAUACUGACGCUGAGGCACGAAAGCGUGGGGAGCAAACAGG
rnacentral:rRNA from 1 species